rnacentral:lncRNA from 1 species
GACAAGUGCCUGUGAAUGAGUGCGAUAAUUUGACUAUGUUGAUGUUUUGCAGAUUAUAUUUUUUUUUUUAAGUUUCUCCAUCUACAGAUAGACUAAUUUAUUGAUCAAUGCAAAAAUGACUAUAAAUGUCAAUACAGGGGAAGUAACUUCUAUCAGGAGUCAGUUGACUAUUUCUGACUGAAUGAGUCACAUGUGUGGAGCAGGAUCAGCCAACCCCUCAGGAGCACCUG